GGACUGGGCUGAUCCUGCCUCCCUGGCGGCCAGCCCUUUCUGAGGGUGUCUUUUUAGGAACCAGGUCUUCUUAUUUCAGACUAAGAAAACUGGAGAGUUCCUUGCAACGCAGGACCUACCGGGCGUGGGACUCUUCUAAUUGCUGCUCCCUAAUUGUGAUUAAGCAGCGCCAAAAGGGUUAUGAUCUUCAACAAUUUAAGGCUCAUCCAUACAACAAAUAUUUAUUAAAUGCCUACCAUGUAGUGGUAUCUAAGCAAUGGAGAUGCAUAGGCCAGUGGGGAUGACUCAGAAUGGAUGCUGGGACUGCAGGUGGGCACGGUGAUGCUGAGGCACCAGGAGCAGGGAACUAUCACCUACAGGAUGCCUGAGGACAGGGAUGUUUGGUGGAACAGGAAAUGAAGGACUUCACUGUUUCAUGGCAAGGAUGCCACCUUCAGUAUCCGGGGUAGAAUGGGUGCCUGGAGAAAUGUGAAAACCCCGUACACGGCUCUGGCAUUUCUGUGUGUAGAACAGUAAUGGUUUCAACAGAGGACAGCACUGCUGUGCUCCAGCGAGAGCUUCUUUCUCGGCCUUUGGGAACAGUCCCUCCAGGAAUCAUCCUGAAGGGCGGCAACAGGUGAAAGUGUCUUGAGGGCUUCCUGCUAGUUCGUGGACCACUACGACCCUGAUCUGAGCCCUGGGUGCUUCCCAGACAGUCCUCCCCCAGUGCACAGUGAUGCAACCAGCGCAAAUGGAAGGAAGUACUAAGCUGAGUCGUAUUGGAGCCUGAGGCAAAAGAAAAAAUCAAC
rnacentral:lncRNA from 1 species